UCCUCUGUUUAUGAAAGGAAGACUUUGUAAACAACUUUUAAAUAAUUUGCAAUGUAGUAAACUACAGCCCAGAGGGAGAAAGGGACAGGCACCGAGGACAGAAGGGCUGGACAGAACUGGAAGGAGCUCAGGACAGUGACGGAAGUGAAGACACCCAGGCUGUCAAGUAAGAUGGUUGGGAGAUUUGUCACUUGCCCAGUGUCAUUAAUAAACAUCUCACUUGAGUCAAAG